rnacentral:lncRNA from 1 species
UCAUUCGAUCAAUGAUGUCGAAAAGAUUUGAAAUACUUCAAGCACUACAACAGAAUUAGGUUAUAGGGACACAUGUUUGGGACACUUUUGUGUGAGUGUCCCAUUUAUACCAAAACUUUUAAAAAAAUCUACUAAUGCCUAAAUAUAAAGUCUAAUCUAAUAAAAAAUAAAAGGUUACUCUAUUCAACCCACCCCACCCAACCCAUUCGGCCUGAUUACAAACAUAAAUGAAAAAGAAAAAAAAAAUCGAUUACCAUUUUCCCUUCUCCCCUCACUCAAUCGACUGAAAUCUUAGAUGAAGAUCCCUUCCUCUCGUCCUCCUCUGUCACCGUAGCGAACGAGGUAGAGUUCCGGCGGUUGCUAAAUGCUUAAAUAAAUAUUGGUAAAUUAGCAGCACUCUUUUUAGGUUAUAGCGACACUCUUUAAUUGUCACUAUAUACCUAGCGACCCCACAUAUAACAACACUUUUUAAAAGUGUCGGUAAUUUAGCCAGCAACACUUUUUUUAACCUGUACCGACAUUUAAAAGUGUCGCUAUAGACCAUUUUUGUUGUAGUGAAGUGGUAUAGAUCAUAUUUAACGGUGCCGAUCGUCGAUUUGGAGGCUCCAUCAUCGAAAACAAAUGGGUGGCAACGGAGCCCGUUUGCUACCGAUAGUAUUCUAGCUCAACUCUAUAU